rnacentral:rRNA from 5 species
GUAACAAGGUUUCCGUUGGUGAACCAGCGGAGGGAUCAUUA